rnacentral:rRNA from 1 species
AUUGAACGCUGGCGGCAGGCCUAACACAUGCAAGUCGGACGGUAGCACAGAGGAGCUUGCUCCUCGGGUGACGAGUGGCGGACGGGUGAGUAAUGUCUGGGGAUCUGCCCGAUAGAGGGGGAUAACCACUGGAAACGGUGGCUAAUACCGCAUAACGACGCAAGACCAAAGAGGGGGACCUUCGGGCCUCUCACUAUCGGAUGAACCCAGAUGGGAUUAGCUAGUAGGCGGGGUAAUGGCCCACCUAGGCGACGAUCCCUAGCUGGUCUGAGAGGAUGACCAGCCACACUGGAACUGAGACACGGUCCAGACUCCUACGGGAGGCAGCAGUGGGGAAUAUUGCACAAUGGGCGCAAGCCUGAUGCAGCCAUGCCGCGUGUAUGAAGAAGGCCUUCGGGUUGUAAAGUACUUUCAGCGGGGAGGAAGGCGAUGUGGUUAAUAACCUUGUCGAUUGACGUUACCCGCAGAAGAAGCACCGGCUAACUCCGUGCCAGCAGCCGCCGCAG